rnacentral:rRNA from 1 species
AACGAACGCUGGCGGCAGGCCUAACACAUGCAAGUCGAGCGAGGACUUCGGUCCUAGCGGCGGACGGGUGAGUAACGCGUGGGAACGUGCCCUUUGCUUCGGAAUAGCCCUGGGAAACUGGGAGUAAUACCGGAUGAGCCCUUUGGGGGAAAGAUUUAUCGGCGAAGGAUCGGCCCGCGUUGGAUUAGGUAGUUGGUGGGGUAAUGGCCUACCAAGCCGACGGUCCAUAGCUGGUUUGAGAGGAUGAUCAGCCACACUGGGACUGAGACACGGCCCAGACUCCUACGGGAGGCAGCAGUGGGGAAUCUUAGACAAUGGGGGAAACCCUGAUCUAGCCAUGCCGCGUGAGCGAUGAAGGCCUUAGGGUUGUAAAGCUCUUUCAGCUGGGAAGAUAAUGACGGUACCAGCAGAAGAAGCCCCGGCUAACUCCGUG